rnacentral:rRNA from 1 species
AUUGAACGCUGGCGGCAUGCCUUACACAUGCAAGUCGAACGGCAGCACGGGUGCUUGCACCUGGUGGCGAGUGGCGAACGGGUGAGUAAUACAUCGGAACGUACCUUAUCGUGGGGGAUAACGCAGCGAAAGCUGUGCUAAUACCGCAUACGCCCUGAGGGGGAAAGCGGGGGAUCGCAAGACCUCGCGCGAUUAGAGCGGCCGAUGCCUGAUUAGCUAGUUGGUGGGGUAAAAGCCCACCAAGGCGACGAUCAGUAGCUGGGCCGGGAGGACGAUAGGCAACACGGGGACUGAGACACGGCCCAGACUCCUACGGGAGGCAGCAGGGGGGAAUUUUGGACAAUGGGGGCAACCCUGAUCCAGCAAUGCCGCGUGAGUGAAGAAGGCCUUCGGGUUGUAAAGCUCUUUUGUCAGGGAAGAAACACCGGCUCUAACACAGUCCGGGAAUGACGGUACCUGAAGAAUAAGCACCGGCUAACUACGUGCCAGCAGCCGCGGUAA